UUUUUCUUUCUCUUUCUCUGCCAGGUUCCUAGCACAAUGAGAAUUGUACUGAUUAGUUCCAUGGGCAGAAACGCAGCCAUGAGAUGCAGAGCAGAAAGAUUUCUUUGUUACUUUCAUUUAUUAAAUAAGAAGAAAUACUUUGCUGAAGGGGACACAGGAAAACCCUAUUUAGUGUGAAGGAAGGAUUGCAAGAGAGUCUGGGAAAAUCAAAGACGGGUAAAUUGGAGGUAGGUCAAUGUUCCCUUAGACUCCAGCUCUCUUUAGAAAUGGGAACAGAAAGCUCAAAUACUGACAAAGGCAUAAAAAUCAUCAUAUAAUAUCAAAUAUAGCUAUAUGCUAAGCUUUAUGAGGUCAAAGACUUUGUCCAUCUACUCAGUACUGUGUACUCAAUAUCUAAGACCAUUCCUGACACAUAGGCAUUCUUGAUAAUUUGUUGAUUUAAUGAGGGUUAUUAAUACUUUUAACCUUUGACUGUAAUUUGCUUUAUGAUAAAUUAAAAUUUAUUGAGAUUUUAGAGCAGAUGUUCUACACAGAAUUUGCUUAAUUGUUUUUAUUUUUAUAGUUGAAAACUGGCCAUGGCAGACCUUUCUCUUUCCCCUCUGUCAAUCACACUGAUUGGUUACCAGUCACAGCAAGAUGAUAAUGAGCUUUUAGUAUCCACUGUGUGCAACUGUCAUAUUUUCCCUCCUUUGGCUUAUGUGCUUAAUUUUUCAUUUAUUCUUCUUUCCUGAAAAGUAAAUAUUCUUGCUUAGUAAUCAUUAUAGAAAACAGAGGAGAUGCGGGAGGAGAAAACAGUACGUUGUUUUCUCCUCCCCCAUCUUAGGGCAAAUCAUCAAAUUCUUAAUACCACCUUAGGGCAACAGAAGGAUGGCAGGUGUUAAAGAAUUAUGUAAUUGAAAGAAAGGGAACAAAGGCAUUAAAAGAAAGCCUCCAUAAUGAAUCUUCUGGCAGGUUUCAGAGAAAGAAGCAGCUGAGUCCUCAUGGCAAGAAAACAUAGUGGAACCUACUGGUAAAAUAUGGUGACGAACGCUUUCAACAUGUUCAAAAAUAUGGUCAUUCAGAAAAUAUAUGUUUCAAAGUGCCUGAGGAUAUUUAACAAGAUGAUACAAUGGCCUGAAAGACUACAUAUUUAUAAAUUGACAAUAAUAUUCAUAUUUUAAAUGCUACCUCUCAUUUAGGAUCUAAAAUUACUACAUGGGGAACAUAAUUUCUCUAUUUAUGAAUUUUGCUAAAACAUUUUUUGGAAUGACUUUAGGAUUUUUUUUUAAACAAAGAGUGAAAAUUUCAGGAGCUUGAUAUCAUUCGAGUCUAAUGCAAUAAACUGCGUACCUUGGCACCAUUAUGAAAAAUGUACAAAACAAAGAUAGGGUUACAAAUGUAAAUACCAGAGUUAAUAAUUGUGACAAAAAUAUAUUAUGGAAACAGCAUGGCUCAGUAACUAGGCAACAGAUUAGAAACUCAAGUUUAAUAUCUAAUUCUGAUUUUUCCCCCUGGUUUCUGGCUUUGUUUCUUAUCAGCAAUCUAUUUAAUAUGUUGACUUAUAUAGUCGAAGGAUAAAAAUGGUGCAAAUAAGCCAAAAUAGCAAAUAACUUCCCAUUCUUAUUUAACUUUGUAAUGUCCCAGAUUUUACAUUUGAAUGGCUAUGUAGGAGUAUCACAGCACUUCACAAUAAAUGAUGAAAUCACAGUCAAGACAUAUAAGACGAUUUGAAAAGCUAUAUCUUUGUACUAUACUGCCCAAUCUACCCUUGAACAGUGCGACCUAUUUGACUUACUAUGUGCCACCUAUGCGGAAAAUGGUGGUGUCCUUUUCUGUGUUGUCUGACUCUGGUUCCAACAAUCCCAAACUGAAAAAAUAUAUGUCAUUUUCGAACAGAAAAAAAA